UUCCAAAUCCAGAAGCAAGAAAUUAACAAGAUUUGUUCUUUUAAAUCAAGAAAACGGCGAAGCUUGUGAUGCCUUCAUCGUCAUUACCCUUUGGAAUCAGAAACCAAAAACCCAUGAAACCCACCAUCAUUCGCAAGAACAAGAAAAAGUCGAAAGAUUUGGUAUUCAACAAAGUUGUCUCCUACCUUCUGUCUGAUUCUUACAUGUAUAACCCUUUGAUUUCUCCUCAACCCACCUUUGAUUUCCCUCCCCCUAAACAGAUCUCCACUUCUGCAGGAGGCCCAGAAGAUAUGGCUUUGCCAACUGGGAGCAGCAAUCAUAAGUUUAUUGAGUUUCUGGAAACUGACUGCUAUUUGUACUCUCCAUUGCUUGCUGAGAAGCAUGUUUGUUCUAAGAAUCAUCCCCCAGCUCCAUCUUCAGGACAUUUCCAGAUUCGUGGGGGAAGCUCGAGCACAGAAACACAGGUUGGUCAAAUGCAACAUAGCGAGAGAGAAGGCGGUGACUUGGGUGAUCAACUUCGUGCAAGACUCAAAGUGCUAAAGGAAACCGUCGCUUAUCAUGAAUCGGUGAACCAGGUGGUUCACUAGAUUUGUCGCUCUAAAUCCGUCCAAGGGGUGUCGCUUGAAACCGAGCCAAAGAAGAUGUUUAUGGAAUAAAAAUUCAGAACGUUGCAGGAAUACGUUGGACGUGUGCUUCUUCAUACAUACAUGAUUGCAAGGGUUGUUUUGUGGACUGUGGGAGUUAGUCCGUCGCUUUCAUAUGCUCUUCUAGUGUCUUUAGGACUAUGCUUCUGUGGUGGUGGUGCUAGCAACUCCGACAAGAGGGCUUCUUGCCGGCUACUUUGUAUCUAUGAAUGUUCGUACUCGUCGGAUGUGUGUCGAGAUCGAGGCAAGUGUUAUUGGCAUCAACUUGUUGAUCAAAAAGCUUGGGGCAAGCUAGUUGGAUAAAGUAGCUGUCAGUUGAUAAAUUAGUCAUGUUUGAUAAAAAAAGCUUUUGGAUUUUGUUGAAAUACUACAUGAGAUGGCUAUUCAAGAAAAUAGCCUAUAAGUUUGUUUAUGCCCGAUCAUCAAGGUUGCCAAAUAUGGGCUUUGUAAUCAUCCUUCCAUUAUAAGCUCAAAGCCUCAAACCUCUAUGGGCCUGUCCCUUCACCCAAAAAGUGUCUGGUCCAAUGGUCCAGUUGGUUGAGCCGUGCCAAGCUUGGGUUGGUCCCAAUUGUUAUGAAUCUUCUUUGCUUCGAUCACUUGAAUUAAAGCAUAUACAAGCUUCGAGACCGGCCUAGUCAAUUCCUUCACAUGUGAAGAUGUUGAGAGCUAGUCGAUUCCUUCACAUAUGAAGAUGUUUCUAGUCAAUUCCUUCACAUGUGAAGAUGUUGAGAGCUAGUCGAUUCCUUUACAAAUAAAGAUGUAGAAACUUGGGCAUAUAAUUUUAGCUAGUUUCUACCUCUU